rnacentral:rRNA from 1 species
AGAGCGAACGCUGGCGGCAGGCCUAACACAUGCAAGUCGAGCGCCCGUAGCAAUACGGGAGCGGCAGACGGGAUAGUAACACGUGGGAACGCGCCCUUCGGUUCGGAAUAACUCAGGGAAACUUGAGCUAAUACCGGAUACGCCCUUACGGGGAAAGAUUUAUUGCCGAAGGAACGGCCCGCGUCCGAUUAGCUAGUUGGUGAGGUAAUGGCUCACCAAGGCGACGAUCGGUAGCUGGUCUGAGAGGAUGACCAGCAUCACUGGGACUGAGACACGGCCCAGACUCCUACGGGAGGCAGCAGUGGGGAAUAUUGGACAAUGGGCGCAAGCCUGAUCCAGCCAUGCCGCGUGGAUGAUGAAGGCCUUAGGGUUGUAAGUCUUUAACGGGAAGAUAAUGACGGUACCGUAGAAUAAGCCCGGCUAACUUCGUGCCAGCAGCCGC